rnacentral:lncRNA from 1 species
UUAAUUUGAGCCUCCCGAGUAAAUCAUCCUUUUUUGCUUUGUUCUGAAUAUUAUUAGGAAUAGUGUGUGUCUGUGACUGUGUUGACAUACAGUUCCUGUCGCUUUGCCAGUGAGGAUUCGUGCACUUCGGUGUAGAGAACCCUUUCUUUCCCUUGCUGUUUGUAAUGGAUGGAAGCUGUCACAUCUCUCUAAGCCUCGAACUCCUGGCCUGAUACUCAGUUGUCCGUCUGUCUUCAGAAAGUGAAGGCUGUGUAUGGAACAGUGGUUGGCAGUUUUCCUCAACUUUGCAAGAGAGAGAGAAUUGGUUGGAAUGAAACCUUGCUCUCCAUACAGUCCGCUUGAGAUGCAGCAUUGAAAGCAAUGAAACUGAGAAGACACUAAAAGAAAUUCGGGGCAAAGUGCCAAACGCCCAGACGGAAGCAGAAUGUGGACCAAAAAGCUUGCGACAAUUGGGUAAUUAUGGUUUAUGAAUUUCAGCUUUAAUCUGUAGUUCAGUGAGUCCUGAUUAAAUAUCUGUUAAACACAAUUAAAGUUUGUUUUUGUAUUUCACCGUCUUGAUCAGAAUAAUUAGAGACUGCGUGUUUCAUGUCAAAAGUAGCAAGAGGAAUUUUAGUGAAUGAACAUCGUUUUUAAAAGCCA